rnacentral:rRNA from 1 species
AAGAGGAAAGUGGAAUUCCAUGCGUACCGGUGAAUGCUCAGAGAUAUGGAGGGACACCAAGUGGCGAAGGCGGCUUUCCUGUCUGCAACUGACGCUGAUGUGCGAAAGCUUGGGGAUCAAACCAGGAUUAGAUACCCUGGUAGUCCACGCCGUAAACGAUGAGUGCUAAGUGUUAGGGGGUUUUCCGCCCCUUAGUGCUGCAGCUAACGCAUUAAGCACUCCGCCUGGGGAGUACGGUCGCCAAGACGUGAAACUCAAAGGAAUUGACGGGGACCCGCACAAGCGGUGGAGCAUGUGGUUUUAAUUCGAAGCAACGCGAAGAACCUUACCAAAUCUUGACAUCCUUUGACCGCUCUAGAGAUAGAGUUUUCCUCUUCGGAGGACAAAGUGACAGGUGGUGCAUGGUUGUCGUCAGCUCGUGUCGUGAGAUGUUGGGUUAAGUCCCGCAACGAGCGCAACCCUUGAACUUAGUUGCCAUCAUUCAGUUGGGCACUCUAAGUUGACUGCCGGUGACAAACCGGAGGAAGGUGGGGAUGACGUCAAAUCAUCAUGCCCCUUAUGAUUUGGGCUACACACGUGCUACAAUGGACAAUACAAAGGGCAGCGAAACCGCGAGGUCAAGCAAAUCCCAUAAAGUUGUUCUCAGUUCGGAUUGUAGUCUUGCAACUCGACUACAUGAAGCUGGAAUCGCUAGUAAUCGUAGAUCAGCAUGCUACGGUGAAUACAGGUCUCCCGGGUCUUGUACACACCGCCCGUCACACCACGAGAGUUUGUAACACCCGAAGCCGGUGGAGUAACCUUAUUGGAGCUAGCCGUCGAAGGUGGGACAAAUAAUCGGGG